GAGUUUGAUCUUGGCUCAGGACGAACGCUGGCGGCGUGCUUAACACAUGCAAGUCGAACGAUGAAGCUGGAGCUUGCUCCGGUGGAUUAGUGGCGAACGGGUGAGUAACACGUGAGAAAUCUGCCCUUGACUCUGGGAUAACUGCGGGAAACUGUAGCUAAUACCGGAUACUUUCCUUGGUGGGCAUCCACUGGGGAAGAAAGAAUUUCGGUCAAGGAUGAUCUCGCGGCCUAUCAGCUAGUUGGUGAGGUAAAGGCUCACCAAGGCGACGACGGGUAGCCGGCCUGAGAGGGUGACCGGCCACACUGGGACUGAGACACGGCCCAGACUCCUACGGGAGGCAGCAGUGGGGAAUAUUGCACAAUGGGCGCAAGCCUGAUGCAGCAACGCCGCGUGAGGGAUGAAGGCCUUCGGGUUGUAAACCUCUUUUAGCAGGGAAGAAGCGAAAGUGACGGUACCUGCAGAAAAAGCACCGGCUAACUACGUGCCAGCAGCCGCGGUAAUACGUAGGGUGCAAGCGUUGUCCGGAAUUAUUGGGCGUAAAGAGCUCGUAGGCGGUUUGUCACGUCUGCUGUGAAAUUUCGAGGCUCAACCUCGAACUUGCAGGGGGUACGGGCAGGCUAGAGUGCGGUAGGGGAGAUGGGAAUUCCUGGUGUAGCGGUGGAAUGCGCAGAUAUCAGGAGGAACACCCAAUGGCGAAAGGCACAUCUCUGGGCCGUAACUGACGCUGAGGAGCGAAAGCGUGGGGAGCGAACAGGAUUAGAUACCCUGGUAGUCCACGCCGUAAACGGUGGGUGCUAGCUGUGGGCCACAUUUCCACGUGGUCCGUGACGAAGUUAACACAUUAAGCACCCCGCCUGGGGAGUACGGCCGCAAGGCUAAAACUCAAAGGAAUUGACGGGGGCCCGCACAAGCGGCGGAGCAUGCGGAUUAAUUCGAUGCAACGCGAAGAACCUUACCAAGGCUUGACAUAUAGAGGAAAAAUGCAGAAAUGUACUCCCCGCAAGGUCUCUAUACAGGUGGUGCAUGGUUGUCGUCAGCUCGUGUCGUGAGAUGUUGGGUUAAGUCCCGCAACGAGCGCAACCCUCGUCCUAUGUUGCCAGCACGUAAUGGUGGGAACUCAUGGGAUACUGCCGGGGUCAACUCGGAGGAAGGUGGGGAUGACGUCAAAUCAUCAUGCCCCUUAUGUCUUGGGCUUCACGCAUGCUACAAUGGCCGGUACAGAGGGCUGCAAUACCGUAAGGUGGAGCGAAUCCCAAAAAGCCGGUCUCAGUUCGGAUUGAGGUCUGCAACUCGACCUCAUGAAGUCGGAGUCGCUAGUAAUCGUAGAUCAGCAACGCUACGGUGAAUACGUUCCCGGGCCUUGUACACACCGCCCGUCAAGUCACGAAAGUCGGUAACACCCGAAGCCGGUGGCCUAACCGUAAGGAGGGAGCCGUCGAAGGUGGGAUUGGUGAUUGGGACUAAGUCGUAACAAGGUAACCGUA
rnacentral:rRNA from 1 species